rnacentral:rRNA from 1 species
CCCGCCGGACCCUACUGCUAUCGGGGUGGGACUAAGACAUGCAAGUUGAGCGUCUCUAGGCUAUGGUAGAGACGCGGCAUACGGCUCAGUAACACGUGGCCAACCUACCCUUAGGACGGGGACAACCCCGGGAAACUGGGACUAAUAUCCGAUAGAUUAGGAGGCCUGGAAUGGUUCUUAGUCAAAAGGGCGUUGAAACCAUGCUUUUCAACGUCGCCUAAGGAUGGGGCCGCGCCCGAUCAGGCUGCUGGUGGGGUAAUGGCUCACCAAACCUAUAACCGGUGCGGGCCGUGAGAGCGGGAGCCCGGAGAUGGGCACUGAGAUAAGGGCCCAGUAGCCCUACGGGCGCAGUAGUCGCGAAAACUCCGCAAUGCGCGAAAGCGUGACGGGGCUACCCCGAGUGCCGUCCGCUGAGGAUGGCUUUUCCCCGGUGUAAUGAGCCGGGGGAAUAAGGAGAGGGCAAGUCUGGUGUCAGCCGCCGCGGUAAUACCAGCUCUCCGAGUGGUAGGGACGAUUAUUGGGCUUAAAGCGUCCUAGCCGUAGCCGCUAGCAAGUCCCCUGUUAAAUUCAGCGACCUAAUCGUUGAGCCGCGGGAGAUACUACUAGGCUAGGAAGCGGGAAAGGCCGACGGUAUUCUCGGGGUAGGGGUGAAAUCCUAUAAUCCCGGGAGGACCACCAGUGGCGAAGGCUGUCGGCUAGAACGCCCUCGACGGUAGGGACGAAAGCUGGGGGAGCGAACCGGAUUAGAUACCCGGGUAGUCCCAGCUGUAAACGAUGCGGGCUAGGUGUUGGGGGUGGCUACGAGCCACUUCAGUGCCGCAGGGAAGCCAUUAAGCCCGCCGCCUGGGGAGUACGGCCGCAAGGCUGAAACUUAAAGGAAUUGGCGGGGGAGCACUACAA